rnacentral:rRNA from 1 species
AUUGAACGCUGGCGGCAGGCCUAACACAUGCAAGUCGAACGAGUGGCGGACGGGCGAGUAAUGUGGGGGAAAGCGCCAGAUGGAGGGGGAAAAAUAGGGGAAAGGGUAGAUAAUACCGCAUACCAGCAGAAGCGCACAGAUGGGUGUAGCUUGGUGGUGGGGUAACGGCUCACCAAGGCGACGAGCCCUAGCUGGUCUGAGAGGAUGACCAGCCACACUGGGACUGAGACACGGUCCAGACUCCUACGGGAGGCAGCAGUGGGGAAUAUUGGACAAUGGGCGAAAGCCUGAUCCAGCCAUGCCGCGUGUAUGAAGAAGGUCUUCGGAUUGUAAAGCACUUUAAGUUGGGAGGCGUUACCGACAGAAUAAGCACCGGCUAACUUCGUGCCAGCAGCCGCGGUAAUUC